rnacentral:snRNA from 1 species
AUGGGUGGCACAUUUACUAAAAAUUGGAAUGAUACAGAGAUCAGCAUGGUCCCUGUGCAAGGAUGACAUGCAAAUUCGUGAAGCAUUCCAUAUUUUU